UAGGGAAUCUUCGGCAAUGGACGAAAGUCUGACCGAGCAACGCCGCGUGAGUGAAGAAGGUUUUCGGAUCGUAAAACUCUGUUGUUAGAGAAGAACAAGGACGUUAGUAACUGAACGUCCCCUGACGGUAUCUAACCAGAAAGCCACGGCUAACUACGUGCCAGCAGCCGCGGUAAUACGUAGGUGGCAAGCGUUGUCCGGAUUUAUUGGGCGUAAAGCGAGCGCAGGCGGUUUCUUAAGUCUGAUGUGAAAGCCCCCGGCUCAACCGGGGAGGGUCAUUGGAAACUGGGAGAAUUGAGUGCAGAAGAGGAGAGUGGAAUUCCAUGUGUAGCGGUGAAAUGCGUAGAUAUAUGGAGGAACACCAGUGGCGAAGGCGGCUCGCUGGUCUGUAACUGACGCUGAGGCUCGAAAGCGUGGGGAGCAAACAGG
rnacentral:rRNA from 1 species